rnacentral:rRNA from 1 species
GGCUCAGGAUGAACGCUAGCUACAGGCUUAACACAUGCAAGUCGAGGGGAAACGAUAGAGAAAGCUUGCUUUUCUAGGCGUCGACCGGCGCACGGGUGAGUAACGCGUAUCCAACCUGCCCAUCACUUGGGGAUAACCUUGCGAAAGUAAGACUAAUACCCAAUGACGUCUCUAGAAGACAUCUGAAGGAGAUUAAAGAUUUAUCGGUGAUGGAUGGGGAUGCGUCUGAUUAGCUUGUUGGCGGGGUAACGGCCCACCAAGGCGACGAUCAGUAGGGGUUCUGAGAGGAAGGCCCCCCACAUUGGAACUGAGACACGGUCCAAACUCCUACGGGAGGCAGCAGUGAGGAAUAUUGGUCAAUGGACGAGAGUCUGAACCAGCCAAGUAGCGUGCAGGAUGACGGCCCUAUGGGUUGUAAACUGCUUUUAUAAGGGAAUAAAGUGAGUCUCGUGAGACUUUUUGCAUGUACCUUAUGAAUAAGGACCGGCUAAUUCCGUG